rnacentral:rRNA from 1 species
UGGGGAAUAUUGCACAAUGGGGGAAACCCUGAUGCAGCGACGCCGCGUGAACGAAGAAGGUAUUCGUAUCGUAAAGUUCUGUCCUAUGGGAAGAUAAUGACAGUACCAUAGAAGAAAGCUCCGGCUAAUUACGUGCCAGCAGCCGCGGUAAUACGUAUGGAGCGAGCGUUGUCCGGAAUUAUUGGGCGUAAAGGGUACGCAGGCGGUUUAAUAAGUCGAAUGUUAAAGAUCGGGGCUCAACCCCGCAAAGCAUUGGAAACUGAUAAACUUGAGUAGUGGAGAGGAAAGUGGAAUUCCUAGUGUAGUGGUGAAAUACGUAGAUAUUAGGAGGAAUACCAGUAGCGAAGGCGACUUUCUGGACACAAACUGACGCUGAGGUACGAAAGCGUGGGGAGCAAACAGG